UACGUAGGGGGCAAGCGUUGUCCGGAAUUAUUGGGCGUAAAGAGCGUGUAGGCGGUCCGGUAAGUCUGCUGUGAAAGUCCAGGGCUCAACCCUGGGAUGCCGGUCGAUACUGCCGGACUAGAGUUCGGAAGAGGCGAGUGGAAUUCCCGGUGUAGCGGUGAAAUGCGUAGAGAUCAGGAAGAACAUCGGUGGCGAAGGCGCUCUGCUGGACCAUAACUGACACUCAGGGACGAAAGCUAGGGGAGCGAAUGGG
rnacentral:rRNA from 1 species